GCAGGCUCUGGCAGCCCACAGGCAGCCACCAGCUCCUCUCCCAGCUGGAACAGCAGCCCCACAGCGAGCCUCUGCCUGGCCCUGGGAGGGGGAGCCCACUUCGCCCAGAGCCAGGGCCCGAAGCCCCUUCCCCAAGCUGCCAGGCUGUCUGGUGUGUGCUGCAUCCGAGGCAGGGCAGAGGUUUUCUGGGUCCUCUCUACUCCCUCAGUCGGACCCCAGUCCUUUUCUUCAAGGCAGCCCGAACUGUGGGGGCUGGGCCGAGACGCUCAGCCUCAAGCCAGCUUCUUGGUGGUGUUGGCCUCUGAAAUGUCACCUGGAAUCCACCGGAAGUAUUAAACCUGUGUUCCUUACCCUCUGGCUCAACUCUUUUCGCCCCGUGGUUGUACGGAAUGUCCUGAGCAAAUAGCAUAUCCAUCCUUCCACAGAUCUCUCCAUUCCCUCCCUCUCUCCCUUCCUUCUUUCCUUCUUCCCAUCAAUCUCCCCUCCCCUCCCCUCCCCUCCUUUCCUCUUCUCUCCUUUCUCUCUCCUCCUCAUCUCCUUCUUCUCUCCCUCCCUUCUACCUUUUCACCAGUCUACCCUUUCUUCCUCUCACCACUCAUCCGUGCACCCACAGAUUGAUGACUCUGCUAAGCACCGGUGCUCCCAGCGGAAGCAAACUCGCCCCUGGUUCUGACCCACCUUGCUUAUUCCUCCAUGCAAGACGCAGGCCUGGGCCAAGGUGCUUGGGGGUGGAGGAGCUGCUCUAGGAAAGUACGGCCCCUGCAGGAGCUCACCUGGAGGCUGGUGCUGAGGGGCGCAUGCUUCCCUGUCUGCCUACAGACUGGCUGCGGAGUGGGGAAGAGGACAGUGCUCCUGACCACAUUGCUGCCCAACUCCACGCAGCCACUGAGUACCAGCAUUGUGCAUAACUACUGUGCCAGAUUCUUCAUUGAAUUCUCUCGAUGGUCCCGUUCUGCAGGAGAGGAAGGAAGAUUCAGGAGGAGAGCCUGGCGUAGUCCAGGCUCUGCCAUCAUCACAAGAUCUUCCCCGGUAAAAAGAUUUUCAUCAACAGGAACGGCUCCGAUGGCUCCAUUUUCCUGUCCAUCCAGUUCGUUGUCCUCCUCCAAGUCACUUCCUUCACCACUUUCAGCCCGACCUCCGGAAGCUUCACUUAGUUUGUUUUCAUCUCUAUCCGAAGCAUAUGUGCUGAACCUUUCCAGACUGGCUAGAGUAAUGCCCGUCUCAUCUACAUCUCUUGGGAUGUACAGGCUCAAGUCUAUGUCAUUUACGCUCACCGAAUCCUCAACCUCGUCAGCACCCGUGCCCUGAGUACAGCGCGUGUCGUCUGCUUCCUCAUCAUCGUCGUUGACCAGUUCCGGUCGGAAUUCAAACACCUCUCGGCCACUGAUCACGAGUGCCUUCCCUGCUCUGAACUUUCCCUUUCACAACAACAUGCUAUUGCCCCCAAGUGGUAAAUAUUAGAAUUCAUAGCAAAUACUGCUUUCCGUUUCUUUCAACACUAGGAAAAAGAUACCAGUUACCUCUCUUUCAAUGAGAUCUUCUAAUGAAAUUUCAUCUUCUUUCUCCUCUUUCUUUUUAUCUUUUUUCAACACAAAUCCAGGAGGAAGUGCAUGUUGAUACGUACAAUUAUCACCCCCUCCAGGGCACACCCAGAACCAGCCAUAUUUGUUAUUUUCAAUAGCUUCAAGAAAAUACUUGCAGACUAUCUGAGUUUUUGGUUUUUUCUUUUCCGCCUCACGGUGCUUCUUGUUUGCUACUUCUUCGAGCUUUUUCUCAUCCCAAUUAUCCACUGUAUCCUUUUCAAGUUCUUCACCUCUUGCAUCAAUGUAAAGCCUCCGUUUGUCACAUUUCCUCUCCAAAGUCAGGUCAUGAGAGAAGGUGCACUUAUCUCCUUUAGUGCACUGUCCUUGCUUGAAGAAGGCACACAUCACGGACUUGGGAUCUGCACCUUUACUUAUUUUUUGAGCUGCAGCUACAGGUUUGAACAGCUCAUUUAGCUCCUGCAAUUCUUUCUUCUUGUCAUCUUUCUUCAACUCCUUUUCAGCUUCACUUUGUGCUACCUGCCGUGGAUUUUGUUGACCAAAUUUGACUUCAUGAGUGCUGGCCUUGAUAAACUUCUGUUGCUUUGCUCCUUUCUUAUUCUUUAGACUGAAGGUUUUGUCCUCAGUAAUCUUCUCCUUCUUUUUCUGCUCCUCCUUUUUGCUGCCCCCGGCCUGAGCCCGUUUCUUCGGGGGCACUGUGGAGAGAGGUGGCACAGGCCAGACUUAAGGAUAGAUGGAUGCCGUGAGGGACUUUGGCACCACCUAUCCUUUAGGUUUUGUAAGCAAGUACACAGCUGAUGUGAGAAUGUGGAUGCUUAUUUUAAAUGCACAAUACAUAUUAAGAAUUUUGUACUUUAUUUUAUUGAUAUUUUGUGUUCCUGUUAACUAUACAUUGUAUAUAUAAUAACCUUCUUAAAACUUUUUAUUCUUUACCCUUUUCUAAAUUUUUAAAGAAUAAUUAUGUAAUAAAUUUUUGUAAUUAGAAAAAAUUAGAUGUAAAUAAAGAUACCAUACAGAGAAAGAGUCAUUACUUAGAGAAAAGCUGGAAAUCCAGCCACCUGGAUUUUUCAUUCUGAUUUACACCACCAAAAGUUGUUUGGCUUUAAAAAAAUUCCGGAAAUGGAAACUCACAGUGUGUCUUCUUUUGUUUUUGUUUCUUCCUUUACUGGGCAAAGCCAAGGGCAUGGCAGGCCCAGAAUCAGUCUAGGAAGGGGCUACUAUGGACAUAGGUACAGGCAGACAUGGACAAAUUGGGUUCCAUUCUUGGGACAGUCCAUCCCAG
rnacentral:lncRNA from 1 species